rnacentral:rRNA from 1 species
AUUGAACGCUGGCGGAAUGCUUUACACAUGCAAGUCGAACGGCAGCACGGGGGCAACCCUGGUGGCGAGUGGCGAACGGGUGAGUAAUACAUCGGAACGUGCCCAGUCGUGGGGGAUAACGUAGCGAAGGUUACGCUAAUACCGCAUACGAUCUACGGAUGAAAGCGGGGGACCGUAAGGCCUCGCGCGAUUGGAGCGGCCGAUGUCAGAUUAGGUAGUUGGUGAGGUAAAGGCUCACCAAGCCGACGAUCUGUAGCUGGUCUGAGAGGACGACCAGCCACACUGGGACUGAGACACGGCCCAGACUCCUACGGGAGGCAGCAGUGGGGAAUUUUGGACAAUGGGCACAAGCCUGAUCCAGCCAUUCCGCGUGCAGGACGAAGGCCUUCGGGUUGUAAACUGCUUUUGUACGGAACGAAAAGGCUCUGGUUAAUACCUGGGGCUCAUGACGGUACCGUAAGAAUAAGCACCGGCUAACUACGUGCCAGCAGCCGCGGUAA